CACCUGCCGCAGGAUUAAUUAUGAUUUGAAACUUUUUGAUUAUGCACAUUGCCCGUCACCGCCACUACUCCUCCCUAGCAAUUCCAUGAUCCGUCGUGUGAGUAUUGUCUCACGGACAGCAAACCGUAAACUGUAGCUAAUUAGUCACAACCAAGACCUAAGGAAGCGAGAAGGAAUGCAAACAAUCGUAAAUGUUAACGUAAAUUGGGAUCCAAAUAAAUUAAAUCAAAGAACUGCUGUAUUCCGCGCGCAUAGUGGUCGCAUCAAUGUUGCACCUCAAAUCUGAAACCAAUCGCAACCGGAAAAUGUUAGAUCGUGUAGCAACAGGUGCAUCUGAUUAUAUGCCUAUAGGCGAGACAGGCAAGCAAGCAUCCAGACAGAUGGGGUGGCUUGUGGGUUGGCGGAUAUGUUGCAUGGUUUUUGGUGGAUUUUGUGUUUCCGUUCUCUAUCCAUUUUCGCAAACAUAUCCAUGGUCGCAAAACGGUUACUACCGAUCGCCGAGAGAUACUAUGCUAUACUAUGCUGCUUGCCCGUAUACAUAGAGCACUAUCCCGUUCACACACAACACACACACACACACACACACACAACACACACAAACACUCCUGCACUAGAACAGUGCGAGGUGCUGUGUUUGUAUGUUUAAACUCGAAGCAGUAGCAGCACCGCACCGUAGCGUGAUGGAGUAGUGAGUGGACGCUGUGCGAAUGAGAGUCAUACUAGUGCCUAUCAACGAGUCAACGACUUUUGUUCCUUGCCGGGAAUGGACACCGGCCUAAGGGAUCGAUCUUGUCUUCUCGACCUUCCCGUCUCCUCCUGUGUCUCUCAUACGGUUCCUCAAUAAAACAAGAGCGGAAGAUCGUGGGGAGGACAAUUAGUGAACUGAGGAUACCACGUGCUGUGUACACUACCCCUCAUUACACUUAGCAUCGAAGUUAGAUCGCACCGUUUUGUCCUUAUUUAUGCUUGAACAAACCCGGUAGAGAGGGAGAGAAGAAGAUAGAAUGAAAAGUAGAAAGAGGAAGGAAAUGAUGAACCAAGAGAUUUAUGUAGCAUCAAAGCAAAUCAGAAAAAACCAUCCUCCAUCAGUUCUCGCAACUGCUCUUGGGGGAGAGCGUAUCUUAAGGUUAUAUUAAGCUCAGUUUCCCAUCCUACCUUCCCUGUCUCAAUACAACGCAACAUCAAACAAUAACACUAUCUAGUCGUUACGUUUAAGGCAACAUGUUAUUAUGUAUCGUAAGUGGAACCGUAGCCGGAGGAGAGAUGAACAAACAAUUAUCAAAAUGGAUCAAAAACAUAAGAAGUCAUAAGAAAUGGAGGCGCCCCGUAGUGUGUAGCUAGAGUACAGGGGUGCCGAGAUCAUACAUAACAAUAGGCACUCCGCCCGUACACACCAGAAACCUCCAAAGCCUCUUAAAACAUGAAACAAAAUAAGUAAAAACGAAGCACUAAAUAGAAUGCAGAAGAAGUACUGAUCAUUUGGACAUGAGACGUGUUUUGAAGCGCUGUGUACGUGACGUUCGGUCAACCGAUGUGUUUCAUGCGUAUACGGGAUAUCCGGCUCCGGAUCCAAACGUACUUGGAAUCCCGUAUUAGUCCCAGAUAACCUUAUAAAUGUUUUAUCUAGUUCGUUAUUUUACAUUCUAUAUCAUCUUCACAUACAUAAACACGAUCGGUAUACACGUACACAGAAUUACAUGCACAGGAACAUUCAGUUCGGUUUUUCUUCUUUGGAUCCAAACGUUCUGGCGUGAGGUUCAGUAUAGAAACCGUGCAAGACCAGCACGCCUAAAUAAACCGAACGUGGAACCAG